rnacentral:rRNA from 1 species
GUCAUUAAUUUGGUGAUUAUGAUAACAUAAGGGAAAAAAAAUGAUAUUACCUUAUUAUUAGUGUUGUCCAAAACUGGUGCCAGAAGACUCGGUAAGACCAGAGACGCAAACGUUAGUCAUCUUAAUCAGGGGUAAAGGGUGUGUAGGCUGCUUUAAAAGUUUAAAUCUUUUUAAUAGCUCUUUUGCCGUUGUCAUACCAUUAUUUUUUUGUUUUUGUUUUUUGUUUUAUAAAUAAUAAACAAAAAUGAAUAUAAAGGUAGUACAUUUUAUAAAUUUAAUUAAUUUAAUUAAUUUAAUUAAUUUAAUUUUAUAAUUAUAAAGGGGACAAAAAAGAUAUCCCGGUUUAAGUAAAAAGAAUAAAAUGAAUUAAAGCUAGGAUCAAAUUGAGGAUAAACCAAAUAAUACUUAGAGUAGGGCCGAUAUCCGCAGAUACUAAGGGGAAUACUAAAGGUGAAAGCUUUUUAUCUACUAUUGAUUGACGCUGAGAAACGAAGGUGAGAACAGGAAAUAGGAUUUGAUACCCAGAUACCUCUCACUGUCAACGAUGAAUGGUGGUUGUUAGUUUUAAUAAAAACUGGUAACGAUGUUAACACGAUAACCAUUCCGCCUUGCGAGUACGGUUGCAAAACUGAAACC